CAUAUUAGAAAUUCAAUAACCAUUUCAUUUUAAAUAUUUUCAAAUGAAAAAAAGUUUUGAACAUAUGACGAUAUAAACAUGAAUAUCCUUCUUUUCUAAAAUAAAUAAAAAUUUACUACAAGCAAAUUAUGCUGACACAGACUAGAAUGCUUCUCUCCCAUAAUAUAACAUUCCUUGAUAAUUGCAUUGAAGUUUAGUUUAACAAAUUGAACUGAUAUUUUCUGUAUCACAGAAUAUCUAAAUUAUAAAGUCUGUAAAUG
rnacentral:lncRNA from 1 species